AGUGAACGCUGGCGGUAGGCCUAACACAUGCCAGUCGAACGGCAGCACAGUAAGGGCUUGCUCUUACGGGUGGCGAGUGGCGGACGGGUGAGGAAUACAUCGGAAUCUACUUUUUCGUGGGGGAUAACGUAGGGAAACUUACGCUAAUACCGCAUACGACCUACGGGUGAAAGCAGGGGAUCUUCGGACCUUGCGCGAUUGAAUGAGCCGAUGUCGGAUUAGCUAGUUGGCGGGGUAAAGGCCCACCAAGGCGACGAUCCGUAGCUGGUCUGAGAGGAUGAUCAGCCACACUGGAACUGAGACACGGUCCAGACUCCUACGGGAGGCAGCAGUGGGGAAUAUUGGACAAUGGGCGCAAGCCUGAUCCAGCCAUACCGCGUGGGUGAAGAAGGCCUUCGGGUUGUAAAGCCCUUUUGUUGGGAAAGAAAAGCAGCAGGUUAAUACCCCGCUGUUCUGACGGUACUCAAAGAAUAAGCACCGGCUAACUUCGU
rnacentral:rRNA from 1 species